rnacentral:rRNA from 1 species
ACUCCUACGGGAGGCAGCAGUGGGGAAUUUUGCGCAAUGGGGGAAACCCUGACGCAGCAAUGCCGCGUGGAGGAUGAAGUCCUUUGGGAUGUAAACUCCUUUCGAUCGGGAAGAUUAUGACGGUACCGGAAGAAGAAGCCCCGGCUAACUCUGUGCCAGCAGCCGCGGUAAUACAGAGGGGGCAAGCGUUGUUCGGAAUUAUUGGGCGUAAAGGGCGCGUAGGCGGUGCGGUAAGUCACUUGUGAAAUCUCCGGGCUUAACCCGGAAACUGCCGUUGAUACUAUUUGUCUUGAAUAUAGUGGAGGUGAGCGGAAUAUGUCAUGUAGCGGUGAAAUGCUUAGAUAUGACAUAGAACAUCGAUUGCGAAGGCAGCUCGCUACACUAUUAUUGACACUGAGGCACGAAAGCGUGGGGAUCAAACAGGAUUAGAUACCCUGGUAGUCCACGCCCUAAACGAUGGAUACUCGACAUCAGCGAUACACGGUUGGUGUCUGAGCGAAAGCAUUAAGUAUCCCACCUGGGAAGUACGACCGCAAGGUUGAAACUCAAAGGAAUUGACG